rnacentral:rRNA from 1 species
UACAGAGGGUGCGAGCGUUUAAUCGGAAUUACUGGGCGUAAAGCGUGCGUAGACGGUUAUUUAAGUCGGAUGUGAAAGCCCCGGGCUCAACCUGGGAAUUGCAUUUGAGACUGAAUAGCUAGGGUACGGUAGAGGGAAGCGGAAUUUCCGGUGUAGCGGUGAAAUGCGUAGAUAUGUGGAGGAACACCAGGUGGCGAAGGCGGGCUCUGGGCCGGUAUGACUGACUGAGGAGCGAAAGCGUGGGGAGCGAAACAGG